rnacentral:rRNA from 1 species
ACGAACGCUGGCGGCGUGCCUAAUACAUGCAAGUCGAACGCUUCUUUUUCCACCGGAGCUUGCUCCACCGGAAAAAGAGGAGUGGCGAACGGGUGAGUAACACGUGGGUAACCUGCCCAUCAGAAGGGGAUAACACUUGGAAACAGGUGCUAAUACCGUAUAACAAUCGAAACCGCAUGGUUUUGAUUUGAAAGGCGCUUUCGGGUGUCGCUGAUGGAUGGACCCGCGGUGCAUUAGCUAGUUGGUGAGGUAACGGCUCACCAAGGCGACGAUGCAUAGCCGACCUGAGAGGGUGAUCGGCCACAUUGGGACUGAGACACGGCCCAAACUCCUACGGGAGGCAGCAGUAGGGAAUCUUCGGCAAUGGACGAAAGUCUGACCGAGCAACGCCGCGUGAGUGAAGAAGGUUUUCGGAUCGUAAAACUCUGUUGUUAGAGAAGAACAAGGAUGAGAGUAACUGUUCAUCCCUUGACGGUAUCUAACCAGAAAGCCACGGCUAACUACGUGCCAGCAGCCGCGGUAAUACGUAGGUGGCAAGCGUUGUCCGGAUUUAUUGGGCGUAAAGCGAGCGCAGGCGGUUUCUUAAGUCUGAUGUGAAAGCCCCCGGCUCAACCGGGGAGGGUCAUUGGAAACUGGGAGACUUGAGUGCAGAAGAGGAGAGUGGAAUUCCAUGUGUAGCGGUGAAAUGCGUAGAUAUAUGGAGGAACACCAGUGGCGAAGGCGGCUCUCUGGUCUGUAACUGACGCUGAGGCUCGAAAGCGUGGGGAGCAAACAGGAUUAGAUACCCUGGUAGUCCACGCUGUAAACGAUGAAUACUAGGUGUGCGGGGACUGACCACCUGCGUGCCGCAGCUAACGCAAUAAGUAUUCCACCUGGGGAGUACGUUCGCAAGAAUGAAACUCAAAGGAAUUGACGGGGGCCCGCACAAGCGGUGGAGCAUGUGGUUUAAUUCGAAGCAACGCGAAGAACCUUACCAGGUCUUGACAUCCUUUGACCACUCUAGAGAUAGAGCUUCCCCUUCGGGGGCAAAGUGACAGGUGGUGCAUGGUUGUCGUCAGCUCGUGUCGUGAGAUGUUGGGUUAAGUCCCGCAACGAGCGCAACCCUUAUUGUUAGUUGCCAUCAUUUAGUUGGGCACUCUAGCAAGACUGCCGGUGACAAACCGGAGGAAGGUGGGGAUGACGUCAAAUCAUCAUGCCCCUUAUGACCUGGGCUACACACGUGCUACAAUGGGAAGUACAACGAGUCGCAAAGUCGCGAGGCUAAGCUAAUCUCUUAAAGCUUCUCUCAGUUCGGAUUGUAGGCUGCAACUCGCCUACAUGAAGCCGGAAUCGCUAGUAAUCGCGGAUCAGCACGCCGCGGUGAAUACGUUCCCGGGCCUUGUACACACCGCCCGUCACACCACGAGAGUUUGUAACACCCGAAGUCGGUGAGGUAACCUUUUGGAGCCAGCCGCCUAAGGUGGGAUAGAUGAUUGGGGUG